GCAGCUUUGUCCGAGCGGUUUAAGGAGGCAGUCUUAAGCACUGCUGUGCCAUGCACUCGUGGGUUCGAAUCCCACAGGCUGCA